rnacentral:lncRNA from 1 species
GGACCUGCCUAGAUGCUGUGCCACCCUGCUUACCCUAAAAGAAGCCCACUCUGACUGGUCAAGCUCCAACCAUGUGCUCAGGACGCAAGGGAAUUACCAAUGCGCAGCAGCCGCAGCCGAGGAAAACCUCCAACAUGUUGGGUGCAAGGAAAGGGCGAGCUGAGGACCGGGAGGCACAGUAUGGUACCGCAAGUGAGCACGAAGCCUGGAAACC